UACGAAGGGGGCUAGCGUUGUUCGGAAUCACUGGGCGUAAAGCGCACGUAGGCGGAUCUUUAAGUCAGGGGUGAAAUCCCGGAGCUCAACUCCGGAACUGCCCUUGAAACUGCAGUGCUAGAAUCUUGGAGAGGCGAGUGGAAUUCCGAGUGUAGAGGUGAAAUUCGUAGAUAUUCGGAAGAACACCAGUGGCGAAGGCGACUCGCUGGACAAGUAUUGACGCUGAGGUGCGAAAGCGUGGGGAGCAAACAGG
rnacentral:rRNA from 1 species